rnacentral:rRNA from 1 species
AGUGAACGCUGGCGGUAGGCUUAACACAUGCGAGUCGAACGGCAGCACAGUAAGAGCCUGCUCUUACGGGUGGCGAGUGGCGGACGGGUGAGGAAUACAUCGGAAUCUACUUUUUCGUGGGGGAUAACGUAGGGAAACUUACGCUAAUACCGCAUACGACCUACGGGUGAAAGCAGGGGAUCUUCGGACCUUGCGCGAUUGAAUGAGCCGAUGUCGGAUUAGCUAGUUGGCGGGGUAAAGGCCCACCAAGGCGACGAUCCGUAGCUGGUCUGAGAGGAUGAUCAGCCACACUGGAACUGAGACACGGUCCAGACUCCUACGGGAGGCAGCAGUGGGGAAUAUUGGACAAUGGGCGCAAGCCUGAUCCAGCCAUACCGCGUGGGUGAAGAAGGCCUUCGGGUUGUAAAGCCCUUUUGUUGGGAAAGAAAAGCAGCAGGUUAAUACCCCGCUGUUCUGACGGUACCCAAAGAAUAAGCACCGGCUAACUUCGUG